rnacentral:ncRNA from 2 species
UGGUAUGCGACGGGGAGCUGGGCUGUAGCUCGGCUGAGAGGACGCUUACGCGUCGACCCUAUGAACCUGAACCAGGUAAUGCUGGCGUAGGGAAAAGCGGCUUCUCAGCAG